ACACUCCUACGGGAGGCAGCAGUGGGGAAUAUUGCACAAUGGGCGCAAGCCUGAUGCAGCCAUGCCGCGUGUAUGAAGAAGGCCUUCGGGUUGUAAAGUACUUUCAGCGGGGAGGAAGGCGAUAAGGUUAAUAACCUUGUCGAUUGACGUUACCCGCAGAAGAAGCACCGGCUAACUCCGUGCCAGCAGCCGCGGUAAUACGGAGGGUGCAAGCGUGAAUCGGAAUUACUGGGCGUAAAGCGCACGCAGGCGGUCUGUCAAGUCGGAUGUGAAAUCCCCGGGCUCAACCUGGGAACUGCAUUCGAAACUGGCAGGCUAGAGUCUUGUAGAGGGGGGUAGAAUUCCAGGUGUAGCGGUGAAAUGCGUAGAGAUCUGGAGGAAUACCGGUGGCGAAGGCGGCCCCCUGGACAAAGACUGACGCUCAGGUGCGAAAGCGUGGGGAGCAAACAGGAUUAGAAACCCCUGUAGUCCCAGA
rnacentral:rRNA from 1 species